AAGGCAGCGAUCAGUAGCUGGUCUGAGAGGACGAUCAGCCACACUGGGACUGAGACACGGCCCAGAGUCCUACGGGAGGCAGCAGUGGGGAAUUUACCGCAAUGGGCGAAAGCCUGACGGAGCAAGACCGCGUGAGGGAGGAAGGCUCUUGGGUUGUAAACCUCUUUUCUCAGGGAAGAAGCUCUGACGGUACCUGAGGAAUCAGCCUCGGCUAACUCCGUGCCAGUAGCCGCGGUAAUACGGAGGAGGCAAGCGUUAUCCGGAAUUAUUGGGCGUUAAGCGUCCGCAGGUGGCGAUUCAAGUCUGCUGUCAAAGCACGGGGCUUAACUCCGUUAAGGCCAGUGGAAACUGAAUAGCUAGAGUGCCGUAGGGGUAGAGGGAAUUCCCGGUGUAGCGGUGAAAUGCGUAGAGAUCGGGAAGAACAUCGGUGGCGAAUGCGCUCUACUGGACGGCAACUGACAUUCAGGGACGAAAGCUAGGGGAGCGAAUGGGAUUAGAUACCCCAGUAGUCCUAGCUGUAAACGAUGGAUACUAGGUGUAGCUUGUAUCGACCCGAGCUGUGCCGAAGCUAACGCGUUAAGUAUCCCGCCUGGGGAGUACGCACGCAAGUGUGAAACUCAAAGGAAUUGACGGGGCCCGCACAAGCGGUGGAGUAUGUGGUUUAAUUCGAUGCAACGCGAAGACCUUCCAGGGCUUGACAUGUCCGGAAUCCCGGUGAAAGCUGGGAGUGCCUUCGGGAGCCGGAACACAGGUGGUGCAUGGCUGUCGUCAGCUCGUGUCGUGAGAUGUUGGGUUAAGUCCCGCAACGAGCGCAACCCUCGUCUGUAGUUGCCAGCAGUAAGUUGGGCACUCUAGAGAGACUGCCGGUGACAAACCGGAGGAAGGUGGGGAUGACGUCAAGUCAGCAUGCCCCUUACGCUCUGGGCGACACACGUACUACAAUGGUCGGGACAGAGGGCAGCGAACCUGCGAAGGCAAGCUAAUCCCAGCAAACUCGGCCUCAGUUCAGAUCGCAGGCUGCAACUCGCCUGCGUGAAGGAGGAAUCGCUAGUAAUCGCCGGUCAGAAUACGGCGGUGAAUCCGUUCCCGGGCCUUGUACACACCGCCCGUCACACCAUGGAAGCUGGCCACGCCCGAAGUCGUUACCCUAACCUUUCG
rnacentral:rRNA from 1 species